AUUGAACGCUGGCGGCAGGCCUAACACAUGCAAGUCGAGCGGCAGCGGGAAAGUAGCUUGCUACUUUUGCCGGCGAGCGGCGGACGGGCGAGUAAUGCCUGGGAAAUUGCCCAGUCGAGGGGGAUAACAGUUGGAAACGACUGCUAAUACCGCAUACGCCCUACGGGGGAAAGCAGGGGACCUUCGGGCCUUGCGCGAUUGGAUAUGCCCAGGUGGGAUUAGCUAGUUGGUGAGGUAAUGGCUCACCAAGGCGACGAUCCCUAGCUGGUCUGAGAGGAUGAUCAGCCACACUGGAACUGAGACACGGUCCAGACUCCUACGGGAGGCAGCAGUGGGGAAUAUUGCACAAUGGGGGAAACCCUGAUGCAGCCAUGCCGCGUGUGUGAAGAAGGCCUUCGGGUUGUAAAGCACUUUCAGCGAGGAGGAAAGGUUGAUGCCUAAUACGUAUCAACUGUGACGUUACUCGCAGAAGAAGCACCGGCUAACUCCGUGCCAGCAGCAGCCGUAA
rnacentral:rRNA from 1 species